GCAUCAUGAUUUACAUUUGAGUGAGUGGCGAACUGGUGAGUAACACGUGGGAAACCUGCCCAGAAGCGGGGGAUAACACCUGGAAACAGAUGCUAAUACCGCAUAACAACUUGGACCGCAUGGUCCGAGUUUGAAAGAUGGCUUCGGCUAUCACUUUUGGAUGGUCCCGCGGCGUAUUAGCUAGAUGGUGAGGUAACGGCUCACCAUGGCAAUGAUACGUAGCCGACCUGAGAGGGUAAUCGGCCACAUUGGGACUGAGACACGGCCCAAACUCCUACGGGAGGCAGCAGUAGGGAAUCUUCCACAAUGGACGAAAGUCUGAUGGAGCAACGCCGCGUGAGUGAAGAAGGGUUUCGGCUCGUAAAACUCUGUUGUUAAAGAAGAACAUAUCUGAGAGUAACUGUUCAGGUAUUGACGGUAUUUAACCAGAAAGCCACGGCUAACUACGUGCCAGCAGCCGCGGUAAUACGUAGGUGGCAAGCGUUGUCCGGAUUUAUUGGGCGUAAAGCGAGCGCAGGCGGUUUUUUUAAGUCUGAUGUGAAAGCCUUCGGCUCAACCGAAAAAGUGCAUCGGAAACUGGGAAACUUGAGUGCAAAAAGG
rnacentral:rRNA from 2 species